rnacentral:rRNA from 1 species
AUUGAACGCUGGCGGCAGGCUUAACACAUGCAAGUCGAGCGGUAGAGAGGAGCUUGCUUCUCUUGAGAGCGGCGGACGGGUGAGUAAUGCCUAGGAAUCUGCCUAGUGGUGGGGGAUAACGUUCGGAAACGGACGCUAAUACCGCAUACGUCCUACGGGAGAAAGCGGGGGAUCUUCGGACCUCGCGCCAUUAGAUGAGCCUAGGUCGGAUUAGCUAGUUGGUGAGGUAAUGGUUCACCAAGGCGACGAUCCGGAACUGGGGUGAGAGGUUAAUCAGUAACACUGGACCUGAGACACGGUCACGACUCCUACGGGAGGCAGCAGUGGGGAAUAUUGGACAAUGGGCGAAAGCCUGAUCCAGCCAUGCCGCGUGUGUGAAGAAGGUCUUCGGAUUGUAAAGCACUUUAAGUUGGGAGGAAGGGUCGUAACCUAAUACGUUACGGCUUUGACGUUACCGACAGAAUAAGCACCGGCUAACUUCGUGCCAGCCGCCGCAGUAACAC